UGAGGAAUAUUGGUCAAUGGGCGCGAGCCUGAACCAGCCAAGUAGCGUGAAGGAUGAAGGUCCUACGGAUUGUAAACUUCUUUUAUAAGGGAAUAAAGUCAUCUACGUGUAGGUGUUUGUAUGUACCUUAUGAAUAAGCAUCGGCUAACUCCGUGCCAGCAGCCGCGGUAAUACGGAGGAUGCGAGCGUUAUCCGGAUUUAUUGGGUUUAAAGGGAGCGUAGAUGGAUGUUUAAGUCAGUUGUGAAAGUUUGCGGCUCAACCGUAAAAUUGCAGUUGAUACUGGAUAUCUUGAGUGCAGUUGAGGCAGGCGGAAUUCGUGGGGUAGCGGUGAAAUGCUUAGAUAUCACGCAGAACCCCGAUUGCGAAGGCAGCCUGCCAAGCCAUUACUGACGCUGAUGCACGAAAGCGUGGGGAUCAAACAGGAUUAGAUACCCUGGUAGUCCACGCAGUAAACGAUGAUCACUAGCUGUUUGCGAUAUACUGCAAGCGGCCAAGCGAAAGCGUUAAGUAUUCCACCUGGGGAGUACGCCGGCAACGGUGAAACUCAAAGGAAUUGACGGGGGCCCGCACAAGCGGAGGAACAUGUGGUUUAAUUCGAUGAUACGCGAGGAACCUUACCCGGGCUUAAAUUGCAGAUGAAUUACGGUGAAAGCCGUAAGCCGCAAGGCAUCUGUGAAGGUGCUGCAUGGUUGUCGUCAGCUCGUGCCGUGAGGUGUCGGCUUAAGUGCCAUAACGAGCGCAACCCUUGUUGUCAGUUACUAACAGGUUCCGCUGAGGACUCUGACAAGACUGCCAUCGUAAGAUGUGAGGAAGGUGGGGAUGACGUCAAAUCAGCACGGCCCUUACGUCCGGGGCUACACACGUGUUACAAUGGGGGGUACAGAGGGCCGCUACCACGCGAGUGGAUGCCAAUCCCCAAAACCUCUCUCAGUUCGGACUGGAGUCUGCAACCCGACUCCAUGAAGCUGGAUUCGCUAGUAAUCGCGCAUCAGCCACGGCGCGGUGAAUACGUUCCC
rnacentral:rRNA from 1 species